UUUGUUUUUUAAUUAAAAACUAGAAUGAAAGAUUUUACAUUUUAAUUUCUUUAUUAAAUAUCAUAUAUAAAUUUAUAUUAAAUAUAAAAAUAUAUUUAUAAUAUAAAAAGACGACAAGACCCUAUUAAAUUUUACUUAUUGUUUAGCUGGGGCAGCUUUUUAAAUAAAAUUUUAAAAUUAUUUAUAUAUUAAUAAAAAUCUAAUAUAAUUAAAUUAAUCUAAUUACUAUAGGGAUAACAGCGUUAUAUUUUUUUCAAGUUCAUAUUAAAAAAAAUCAUUGCGACCUCGAUGUUGAAUUAUAUUUCUUUAUAAUGCAACAA
rnacentral:rRNA from 1 species